GGCAAGUAAAAUGCGUGUGUUCGUGUUGAUUCAUUGAAUUCGCCAUCCAAACUAGCUCUCUCUCACUCUCGCACUACCCCACCACCACCCACCUUACUCUUCGCGGGGGAACCUACUUUAUUGUUACUCUCCUUUUGCGAGAGCGCUGACAGAUAAGAAAUUACGGAGCCCAGAAGAAUCGGAAUCAUCAAUGAAGUCGCUGUCUACUCUCCAACGAAAGCUCCUGCGCAAAUGCUCCGCCAAGAGCCAGUUAUAUUGGAGACUCGAUGAAAUGUUUAAUUUUAUAACCAUGACCCUGAUAUUUACACCCAAAAAGAAGAGCCUCACAUAAGGAAAUACGUGUGUACCCAUACAGAAAUCGCAUGAAAGGACAAUUUCAAGGAUAUGCGGCGCGUGCAAAAAUUUCUCCACAAACAACAAACUUGCUGGUGCGCCUGCGUUGCACUAGCUUUACAUAAAACACACACCCAUACACCCCAUAUACCGUUAGCAGCGAAAACCGUUGGAGCAAUAAAGAAAGCCAGGCAGACAGAGACGGAGACAGUCGGCGAGGGAAAGAAACGGCCAUACGAAAUCCAUGCUCAGCCCACGCAUUUCUCGCUGCUCACUGUCGGCUUGGCACGCGGCUCCUGAGAUUCCAAGGGCGUAAUUCCCCAGGACUUUACUCUGCUUUCGUCCCUGGCGCGUGGGAGGCCAGCCGCUCGUCGGCCGGAGGGGGCGGGGCGGCAAGGCAAGGGAGUGGACUGGGAAAAAUUCGGCCACUUUAAUAAGCUACAUUUCAUUUCAGCAUUCUUAAUACAAAGAAAAUCUGCGUACUUUGAAAAUGGUAAUAGUAGUAGAAAAUAGGUUUUUUAAU